AUUGAACGCUGGCGGCAGGCCUAACACAUGCAAGUCGAACGGUAACAGGGAUCAGCUUGCUGAUUCGCUGACGAGUGGCGGACGGGUGAGUAAUGUCUGGGAAACUGCCUGAUGGAGGGGGAUAACUACUGGAAACGGUAGCUAAUACCGCAUAACGUCGCAAGACCAAAGAGGGGGACCUUCGGGCCUCUUGCCAUCGGAUGUGCCCAGAUGGGAUUAGCGAGUAGGGGGGGUAACGGCUCACCUAGGCGACGAUCCCUAGCUGGUCUGAGAGGAUGACCCACCCCACUGGGAAUGGAAACACGUGCCACCCCCCACGGGGGGGCGGCAGUGGGAAUAUUUGCAAAAGGGGCGCAACCCUAAUGCACCCAGCCCGCGUGUAUAAAAAAGGCCUUGGGGUUGUAAAGUACUUUCACCGGGGAGGAAGGGAGUAAAGUUAAUACCUUUUCUCAUUGACGUUCCCCCCAAAAGAAGCACCGGCUAACCCCGU
rnacentral:rRNA from 1 species